AAUAGGGAAAUUUAAUAUUUAGCUUUCGCAGUCUCAAACAAUCAAGUUUGGAAAAGGUUUAAUGGAAAUAAAUUUGUAGAGAGAGAAUAAAAAUCUAAAGAUUCAAAAUUAUUUCAUUUAUACAUAUGUCCUUAAAAUUUAUAUUCUA
ensembl:ncRNA K03H1.17 ncRNA